rnacentral:rRNA from 1 species
AUGAGCUUGAUUCCUCGCCCGCGACCCUGUGUUCAUGCCGUCGGUCGGAGGUCGAGCAGACCGCUUGAACGGCGCUGCUGCUGCUCGUUUGGAGUGCACGGGCCGUUGGCUUCUUCGAGAGGCUCUGGGACGCCGGUGGCGCAGGCGCCACGGGUCUCGCCGCGAUGUUCGGGCAGCGGGCCCGGCUUCGGAUAUGCACCGACGGUCAAUUCAGGGCAGCGGAGAGGAGCGGCGGCAAGCCACCUUCACCGUCGUCGCCGCGCCACCGAUCGCGCCGCCGCCAUGUCGAGCGCCGCCACCAUCGGUUCCACUGCUGCGGGCUUCCUCCCGGCCUCUCUUGCGGCUCUGCUCAACCUCCCGCUCGAUGUCGUCUCCGUUCCGGCUCCGAUCGGGACAAGGAGCAUCGGCUCCGUCUUCUCCACGCCGCCGGCGCCCUCGCUCGGGCGUGACCUCGUGGUCCACACCGCGGCGCCGCCGUCCGCUGCGGAUUCCGCAGGCGUCGUCCCGCCGCUCCUGCCGCGAGCGGAUCACACCGCCCCGCUGGCGGGGUUGGCGGCGUCCGCACCGGCCGCGAGCUUUGCGGCGCCCGCCCUGGCUGCGGUCCCGCCUCCUCCCGCAUCGGCUUCGGUGCCUCCGGCUGCCUCCAUGGUGUUUGCACCCCAGGCAGCCUCCUCGAUGGGAUCGUCUUCGCCGCCGCCGUUUCACUUCGGUCAUCUCAUCACCAUCAAGCUCUCCGCAGACAACUACAUCUUCUGGCGUGCGCAGGUUCUCCCGCUCUUGGGGAGUCACUACCUGCUAGGCUACGUCGACGGAUCGCUUCCCUGCCCACCCGCGCUGGUAGACAGCGUGCACGGUCCGGUCUACAAUCCGGCCCAUCGCGUCUGGACGGGGCAGGACCAGGCGAACCUCUCCUCCAUCCAGGGGUCGCUCUCACCGGCAGUUGCCGGCCUUGUUGUCUUCGCGAAGACGUCUCAUGAGGCCUGGACCAUCCUUGAGCGCACCUUUGCAGCGCAGUCCCAGGCUCGUGUCUCUGCACUCCGUCGUCAGCUUGGAGAGUGUCAGAAGCUUGACUCCACGGCCACUGAGUUCUACAACAAGGUCAAGGGCCUUGCCGACACAUUGGCCUCCAUUGGACAGCCCCUCACCGACUCCGAGUUCAACUCGUUUAUUGUCAAUGGUCUUGAUGAGGAGUAUGAUGCCUUAGUCGAGAUCAUCAACGAGCGGGGUAACUCGACACCCAUGUUGGCACACGAGGUUUUCUCUCGGCUUCUUCUCACUGAGCAACGGGUCGAGACUCGCCGCACCAGGGGCAUUGGCUCUCUCUCGGCCAACGUCGCCACCAAGGGUGGCCGCUCUUCUUCAUCACCCCGGUCUCCCUUGGGGCUGCCACCGUCGCCCGCCUCGGCCCCCCCACCUACUGCGACCUUACCGGGGGCUGGCGGUCCACGUGUGUGUCAGCUUUGUGGCCGUGAUGGGCACUGGGCCUCCAAGUGUCAUAAGCGCUUCCAGCGAAGCUUCCUUGGUCUUGGCAAUGACGGCAAAGAUACACGCAACAAUGCCCGUCAGGUCGUCAUGGCUGAUCGUCCCGCACCGCAGAAGCACCAGGGACACACUCAGUCCUACUCCAUCGAUCCACACUGGUACAUGGACUCUGGGGCGACAGAGCAUCUGACCAGCGAGAUGGGGAAGCUUCACACUCGUGAACCCUAUCAUCGCUCGGACAAGAUCCACACCGCCAAUGGAGCAGGAUCGGGGCACGAGGGACAUUCUUCUUAG